GCUGCAGCGUGCUCGUGGCGAGGAUCGCAAGGUCUGGAUCGUCGGGCUGGUCGAUGACCACAGCCGCUUCAUCAUCGGCCUGCGGGUCCUGCCCAGCCCGAGCACACAGCCGAUCCUCACCUGGCUGGACGACUGCUUCGAGCUGUGUGGGAUGCCGCACGAGGUCAUGAGUGACAACGGCAGUCCCUUCGUGGUC
rnacentral:rRNA from 1 species